CACGUAGGAGGCGAGCGUUUGUCCGGAAUCAUUGGGCGUAAAGAGCGCGCAGGCGGCUUGGCAAGUCGGGUGUGAAAUCCCGGGGCUCAACCCCCGGGACUGCAUUCGAUACUGUCAGGCUAGAGGUAGGUAGGGGAGAUCGGAAUUCCUGGUGUAGCGGUGAAAUGCGCAGAUAUCAGGAGGGACACCGGUGGCGAAGGCGGAUCUCUGGGCCUUACCUGACGCUCAGGCGCGAAAAGCUAGGGGGAGCGAACAGG
rnacentral:rRNA from 1 species